UNGGGGACACGCUAUCUGGUCUGAACGCCUU
rnacentral:piRNA from 1 species